CAGUAGCCACGGUAAUACGAGGGGAGCUAGCGUUGUUCGGAAUUACUGGGCGUAAAGCGCGCGUAGGCGGCUUUUUAAGUCAGAGGUGAAAGCCCGGGGCUCAACCCCGGAAUUGCCUUUGAAACUGGAAAGCUAGAAUCUUGGAGAGGUCAAUGGAAUUCCGAGUGUAGAGGUGAAAUUCGUAGAUAUUCGGAAGAACACCAGUGGCGAAGGCGACUGACUGGACAAGUAUUGACGCUGAGGUGCGAAAGCGUGGGGAGCAAACAGGAUUAGAUACCCGCGUAGUCCCUGUCUCUUAUAC
rnacentral:rRNA from 1 species